ensembl:lncRNA
CCGGAGCCUGAGAGUGGCAAUGCUGUGGAGAAACCAGCAAGGGCAUUAACUUCCCCUGGGGAAAAUGUGUACAAUCGUAUCAACAAAUCCAUGGAGAUAUGACAAUCACCAGAGAUGCGGUGGGAAUAUUAUGUUGCAUCUGCUUCUGACUGCUUCCCAAGCCUUGAUUAUGACACAGAGGAGAAGACAACUUAGCCAUAGUGCCUGGUCUAGGUCAUCAGUAAUAUAGUUGGAAUAAUAAGGAAAUGUUUUGAAGCUAUACCAUCACGAAUGGGUGGAAUUGAAAAAAAUAAAAGAAGAAAUUCCAGAAUAACGAAUGAAUGAAUGAAUGAAUUGAGCAUCUCCUACAGGCAAGGCACUGCGUCAGGUCCUGAAGGUACAAGAGUGAACAAGACUGAUAUAUUCCUUCUCCUCAUGAGAAGCAGAUGUGAAACAAAGAAUCCUGGAGGUCAGAAGUCCAAAAUCAAGAAGUUGGCCAGGUUGUGCUCCCCACGAAGGCUCAAGACAUCAGAGCUCCUGGUUCUCGUGCCUUUGGACUCCAGACUAAUACCAGUGGCCCUCCCAGUUCUCAGUCCUUCAGCAUUGGACUGAACGAUACCACCAGCUUUCCUGGUUCUCCAGCUUGCAGAUGGCAGACUGUGGGACUUUGUGGCCUCCACAACCAGCCCUCAGGCAUGCUUCAGUGGAAGAUUUGGGAGAAAUUAUAAUGGUCCCAGCCAAGAAUUUUUAUUAAAAAAGUUUUAAAAAGGGCCAGAAGACUUUCCCCCUUUGAAGCAGAGGAAAACCAACCACUGCAGCCCCCUGUGCCUCCCACCAUCGCCAUCAUCGCCACCACUACCUCUCAGCCUUCUAGUGUGUUCACUGGCUUUCUGAUUCUGGCAUCUUCUUGGAACUUCCUUGCCCCUUGUAACUGCUAAUGGACCUGCGCAGCGACCACGGCCUGAGAAAGGUAUGAUUACCAAGAGAUCAGAUGCCUCAGCAAUGGAAGCUUGAGCCACACCACCAGGUAAGCCAUUGAGUCCUGCCAAGGCGAGGGCUGAGGGUGAGGGGUAAUUUAGAAUGGACGGUGGAGGAGGAAGAGGAUGAGGUCCAGGUGUGGUCCUGAGAUCAAAUGCAGCACCAAGGGCUGUGCUUUAUCCUACUAACUUCCCUUUUUUGAGUUUUUGCCUCAGGAAGAAAGUCCUGUGGGAACCGUGGAGAAGGUGCUCCUCCAACUUCGGUGGAGAUGUAGAUUUGUGCAGCGCCAACAGGAGCAUGUGGUGGCCAUGAAAGUGCAUCUCUCGGAUUUCCUACUUCAGGGAGUAUAGUUGACCCACAGAUCAGCUGCUGUGCUCUGAAAUCUAUCACCACAUUCGCACUGAGGUGGUGCUUUUCCUAGGUUGCUCCCAGCAAAUGACUGAGUGUAGCAGGGAUACUUAGCAGGCCCGUACCUGUAACAUGCUGGCCUCCUCUGAAGGGCCACUUUGCCUCAGGACUGCCCAGAGGCCUGGCUGAAACUUUCUUAGAACUGUGCUGAAGUCUAAGAAGUAACUCCUGACUCUCUUAUUCCCUUCUUCGCUCCCUCCCUAGUUUCUGCUUUCUUCUCUUUCACAUGGGGCAGAACUACAUCAUGGUCUGAUGGCUCCUCCACCAGUUCCUUCUCCAUCUUCCCUCACUGGGAUUUCCUCUAAUAAAUCUCUUGCACAUCUAA